GAUGAAGAACGUAGCGAAAUGCGAUAAGUAAUGUGAAUUGCAGAAUUCAGUGAAUCAUCGAGUUUUUGAACGCAUAUUGCGCCCUCUGGUAUUCCGGGGGGCAUGCCUGUUCGAGCGUCAUUAAAUAACCCUCAAGCAUGGCUUGGUGUUGGGCUUUUUUACGUCCUUGACUGGGAUGGGCCUAAAAAUUAGUGGCGAUGGCUUUUUUACUUUCAAGCGUAGUAAAUCUCGUCUUGCUAAAGAGGAAAAAGAUUUUUUUUCUGCCAAAAAUUUUAACAUUUAAAGUUGACCUCGGAUCAGGUAGGAUUACCCGCUGAACUUAAGCAUAUCAAUAAGCGGAGGA
rnacentral:misc_RNA from 1 species